rnacentral:lncRNA from 1 species
GGUUCACAGUUUCAGUAGGUAAAAAGGUCACAGCACAAUUUGAAAGCAGUCAGUGCGAAGAAUCUCUGAGCAGGGCGUCAAAUAAUAGAAAGUCUUCCUGCUGGUUUGGCUUAAGAAUAAUGAGGCUGACUCCUCACAUUCCCAAAGGAAAUUUAUCUGCCCCCUUUCCUCUGCCAAGCCUGUUCCUGUCUUCCCUAUCGGAGGGAAUGGUGUCUCCAUCCUUCCAGUGUCAAAACAUGAGAUGCUCCCGUGACUCCCGCGCACUGCUCUCCGUGUUCCAGGCCCACAGCAGGUCCUGUUGAGUUCCUUCUAUAACCUCUCAUGUCUGUUACUUCCUCUUUUAUCUCACUGUCACUGUCCUAGCCUGGUUUUGUUCCCCUUGCUUGGAUUAUUAACACCACUGCCUAACUGGUCUCCCACCGCCAUCUCGCCAUCCAGACCAUGACCCAACUUGCUGCCGUGCCUCUGACACUCGAAAACCUUCAGUGGCUCCUGAAUGGCUAUUAACUCAAGGCCAGACCCUUACCGGCAUCCUGACACUCUGUAAUCUGCCCUUAGCCUGGCCCAUUUCCCAUACGACUAUCUUACUCCUUGUCACAGACCCUACAGUCGCCCAAAUGCCAUUCCUCAAGAGCGUUUUCCAACUUCCAAAUCUUCACUAAUGCCUCCACCAUCCACUUGCUGGGAAACAAUCCUGCCCCCAUCUCUGCCUCUUGAAAGUCGACCCAUCUCUCAAGGCAAACACUAAUGCUGUCUUCCCCAGGAAACGUCCCUUCCUACAGCCACAAGUGCUCUUUCCUGCCCCUUUGUUCCCAUGACACAGUAUGGCAUGAGGGUUAAGCACAGGACUCUGGAGUUGGGCUGUCUGGAUCUGAAUCCAGGCUCUGUUGUUUCAUAGCUGUGUGACCCCAGGCAAGUUACUUAACCUUUCUGUACUUUCUUUUCCCCAUCUGUAAAAUGGGGGGAACAAUGAUAGUACCUACAGCCUGGGAUGGCUCUGAGGAUUUAAUGAGGUUUACACAUGAAAUGCUUUGUACAGUGUUGGCAAAUGCUAGCAAUUGUCACAGUACUCUAUUUGAGUAAUGCCUGUCAUGGUACUGGGUGUUGUCUUGUUUCCCCUGGUCUUAGUACUGUAAGAUCUGGCCUUCUGUCUUAUUUAUAUGUCUGUAUUCUAGUGCCCAAUACAUGGAAGACAUCAGAAAACGAUUAAACUAUAACCCACGUUUAUCUUUCUGAAGAACUUCCAACCCCCCUCCUUGCUAUAGAGCAACAAACCAGCACAUUAAUUGUGUAGAGAUAGGAGUAAAUCUUUUUUUUUUUUUUUUUGCGGUACGCGGGCCUCUCACUGUUGUGGCCUCUCCCGUUGCGGAGCACAGGCUCCGGACACGCAGGCCCAGCGGCCGUGGCUCAGGGGCCCAGCCGCUCUGCGGCAUGUGGGAUCUUCCCGGACCGGGGCACGAACCCGUGUCCCCUGCAUCGGCAGGUGGACUCUCAACCACUGCGCCACCAGGGAAGCCCAGGAGUAAGUCUUUGAGAUUAAAUUGCCACCUUUGUAGGUAUCAGGUCCUAGCUGAAAUGCUUUUUGGUAUAAUCAAAGAUGUACUCUUAUGCUCUGAAAUGGAUCAUGGCACACUUCGGCUUUAAAUAUACCAGUUGCUUCUACCACAUAGGAAGUCUCUGUUUGGGGUUGUGACAUCUCUUUGUGUCUUGAGCAUUUGUAACGUGUCACAGGUAAUUUUACUAAGAUACUAAAAUUCAUAAAUGUAUUUGCUUAAAAAAAAUAAAUUAGAACAGAGUCAAGAGAUUAGGGAGAGGUGACCCCAGACUUUAUCUGAGGAGUAGAUCUGGGUGGUAGAUCUGAGAAACAAAUGCGGGUUGUCUGGUUCCAAGGCCACACUCUUAUUCUUCAGAGUCAUUGAAUCUUAUCCUUGGAUGCACAUUGGAAUCACCUGGAGACCUUUAAAUACUGAUGUCCAGAUCCCACCCCCAGAUCUUCCGGUUUCAUUGGUGUGCGGUGUGGCAUGGGCAUACAGAUUUUGGAAUAAGUAAUAUCGCACCUGCUCACUUAUGCUCAACCAUACUUUCUUCAAUGGGAGGGAAGGGGCAUAGUUGCAGCUAGAACCCUGGAAAUACAUUCAUUAAUUCUUUAAUUCAUUCGGGAAAUAUUUGACGUCUUGCUUCGUGCUACUUACCAUUCUAGGCAGGAAUGAUGAGCAGGACAGACGGGCUCUGCUGUCAUGGGGCUUCCAUUCCAGGGGGGAGGCAAUAAACAGGUAAACAAUGUGAAGGGUCAGUGUGAAAACGAAUAGCUGGAGGGUGAGGAUGUACUUAGAAAGAGAGGCCAUGGAGGGUCUCUCAGAGGAAGUGGCAUUUGAGCUUCCCCCUCAAGGAACAGCCAGUUAAGGGCUGAUGGAAGCGUGUCCCAGCCUCAGGGAACCACAGGAGCAAACCCCUGAGGCAGGACAGGGCUCUGUGUGCUUCGGGAACAGUCUGCCCGGAGUGUGGUUUUGUGAGUACAAGCGCAAUGCAGUUGCAGCUUCCUACCUCAACCUUUUAACAUGCCGGGGACAGUCCCUGUCCUCGGUGUCUCCACAGUCUGCUGCAGAAAGUCCACACUCCUCAGUGUGACAGCCGGUCAUUCCAGAGUCUGACUCAGAGCUCUCCAGCUUCAUCUCCCACCAUCAUCCCUGCCACACACUGGAUCCGCGCCUUCUCAGACAUCUUGCGCCUUUCCUCUUGCUGUGUGCUCUGCCCCAGAGUUCUCCUCCACCUCUCCUCGGUGCACCUUUCCCUCAAGACACAGCUCAAACGUGCCUCCUUGGUGAAGCGUCCCUCAGGUCCCUCCAGAGUGACUCACAUCUCCCUCUGUGUUCGGGCGCAUCUCCUGCACUUCAGCUGCUGUGCUUUUGGGGAGCGAGAAGUCCAUCUUGUUUAACACCGCAGCUACCCCUUCAGGCAGAUCUCCUGGCAGAUCGUCAGUGCCUGGUUGCUGAAUGAAUGUUGCACAGCCAUUGGCCUCUCCGAAAGGGAGUAGCCUAGUUAAUCCUUAACUGUGUACCCCUCUAUGUAGAGUAAACAGGAGGGCAUUCUGUAUUCCAAGAGAGGCUCAGGGUUCUGCCACAAUGAUUAGCGCCACUGGAGAAAGAAGGGAAUGCUCUGGUUUUUUGUUUUUAUUUUUCAAAAAGAGCCCAGAAAUCCCUGUCACAGUGGCAGUAAAAAGUGCCAUCUGUGAACUAAAGGGAGGAAGAUCCAUAAAAGGUCAGAUUAGGCUAUGGUAAUAAGAAUUAUAAUUGCAUGCCGGUAUUCCUUUAAUUUGAGGGUUGAAUGCAAACUAAGCAGGAUGCCCUUUCUGGAAGCCAUGUUUUAAUCAAUUCUGCUGCUCUGGUGGAAGAGUUGAAGCUAGAAAGAAAAUGAUGAUAAUGUUUCUUUCACUUGCCAUCUGAAACUAGGGUAUUACGUGAUGUGACAGUAGUUUGAUGUACAGGCUUUAUGAGUGUUUUAUUGUCUGUGGAAUAUGCAGUACCUUUAUGUUGCUGGGUUCCAAGAAGCUGAGUGCGAGCCACAAUUACUGAAGCCCAAGUGUGUGGAGCCCGUGCUCCGCAACGAGAAGCCACUGCAAUGAGAAGCCCGCGCACCGCAACGAAGAGUAGCCCCCGCUCGCCGCAACUAGAGAAAGGCCGCGUGCAGCAACGAAGACCCAACACAACCAUAAAUAAAUAAAUUUAUUUUAAAAAAAAAAGAAGGCUUUGGUCUUAAAAGUUAAAGGAGGAAACCUUUGGAGAUCAUCUUCUACUUGAACUGCCUUCUGAUUGGGCCAAGCCCAGUCUGAAGCCCUCUGUGGUCGUGGGUUCAGGCUGGCUGACACGGAGGCUGGCUGCGUGGAGGGCCGGGGGGCACAGCUCACCUGUGGAAAUAGGCAGCAGCACUUGGAGUACGAGAGGGGACCUGAGCAUCGGACGCCAAAAGGGCAGGACUGGGAUAAACAGGGAGCACGGAGUCAAAGAGUGGUUGGGAGACAGACACCCUAAUAGAAACCUCUGCAAAAUCCGUGAACAGGCAGUUUGCAGAAGAAAACAUCAGAAUGGCCAAUCAACUGUGAAAAGAUGUCUAACCUCCCUAGUAGGCAGAACAAUGCACAUUAAAGCCACAGUGAGAUGCCAUUUUAUUAGCAAAAACGUAAAAGGUUGAUGACGUCAAGGGCUUCCCUGGUGGCGCAGCUAAGCCUGUGUGCCGCAACUACUGAGCCUGCGCUCUAGAGCCGGUGAGUCACAACUACUGAAGCCCGCACGCCUGGAGCCCGUGCUCGGCAACAAGAGAAGCCACCGCAAUGAGAAGCCGGCACACCACAACGAAGAGUAGCCCCCGCUCACCGCAACUAGAGAAAGCCCACACCCAGCAACAAAGACCCAACUCCGCCAU